GUCCACGCCGUAAACGAUGGAUACUUGGUGUUGGAGGUAUUGACCCCUUCAGUGCCGAAGCUAACGCGUUAAGUAUCCCGCCUGGGAAGUACGGUCGCAAGAUUAAAACUCAAAGAAAUUGACGGGGCCCGCACAAGCGGUGGAGCAUGUGGUUUAAUUCGAUGCAACGCGAAGAACCUUACCUGGGUUUGACAUGUACUGGAAGACUACCAGCGAUGGUGUCGCCUUCGGGCCGGUACACAGGUGCUGCAUGGCUGUCGU
rnacentral:rRNA from 1 species